rnacentral:tRNA from 1 species
AAUGUGGCGCAGUGGUAGCGCAGUAGACUGUUAAUCUAUUGGUCGUGGGUUCGAAUCCCUCCAUU